CCUACGGGUGGCAGCAGUGAGGAAUAUUGGUCAAUGGGCGAGAGCCUGAACCAGCCAAGUCGCGUGAGGGAGUACUGCCCUAUGGGUUGUAAACCUCUUUUGUCGGGGAGCAAAAGCCGGACGUGUCCGGCUGUGAGAGUACCCGAAGAAAAAGCAUCGGCUAACUACGUGCCAGCAGCCGCGGUAAUACGGAGGAGGCGAGCGUUAUCCGGAUUUAUUGGGGUUAAAGGGGGCGCAGGCGGAUUUUUAAGUCAGUGGUCAACUCGUGGGGCUCAACCCCAUCCAGCCGUUGAAACUGGGGAUCUAGAGUGUGCGAGAGGUAUGCGGAAUGCGUGGUGUAGCAGUGAAAUGCAUAGAUAUCACGCAGAACCCCGAUUGCGAAGGCAGCAUACCGGUGCACAACUGACGCUCAGGCACGAAAGCGUGGGUAUCGAACAGGAUUAGAUACCCUAGUAGUC
rnacentral:rRNA from 1 species